rnacentral:rRNA from 1 species
ACGCACGCUGGCGGCGUGCUUAACACAUGCACGUCGAACGGAAAGGCCCUGCUUUUGUGGGGUGCUCGAGUGGCGAACGGGUGAGUAACACGUGAGUAACCUGCUCUUGACUUUGGGAUAACUUCAGGAAACUGGGGCUAAUACCGGAUAGGAGCUCCUGCUGCAUGGUGGGGGUUGGAAAGUUUCGGCGGUUGGGGAUGGACUCGCGGCUUAUCAGCUUGUUGGUGGGGUAGUGGCUUACCAAGGCUUUGACGGGUAGCCGGCCUGAGAGGGUGACCGGCCACAUUGGGACUGAGAUACGGCCCAGACUCCUACGGGAGGCAGCAGUGGGGAAUAUUGCACAAUGGGCGGAAGCCUGAUGCAGCAACGCCGCGUGCGGGAUGACGGCCUUCGGGUUGUAAACCGCUUUCGCCUGUGACGAAGCGUGAGUGACGGUAAUGGGUAAAGAAGCACCGGCUAACUACGUG